rnacentral:rRNA from 1 species
AUUGAACGCUGGCGGCAGGCCUAACACAUGCAAGUCGAGCGGAUGAAGGGAGCUUGCUCCUGGAUUCAGCGUCGGACGGGUGAGUAAUGCCUAGGAAUCUGCCUGGUAGUGGGGGAUAACGUCCGGAAACGGGCGCUAAUACCGCAUACGUCCUGAGGGAGAAAGUGGGGGAUCUUCGGACCUCACGCUCUCAGAUGAGCCUAGGUCGGAUUAGCUAGUUGGUGGGGUAAAGGCCUACCAAGGCGACGAUCCGUAACUGGUCUGAGAGGAUGAUCAGUCACACUGGAACGGAGACACGGUCCAGACUACUGCGGGACGCAGCAGUGGGGAAUAUUGGACAAUGGGCGAAAGCCUGAUCCAGCCAUGCGGCGUGUGUGAAGAAGGUCUUCGGAUUGUAAAGCACUUUAAGUUGGGAGGAAGGGCAGUAAGUUAAGACCUUGCUGUUUUGACGUUACCAACAGAAUAAGCACCGGCUAACUUCGUG